CCUACGGGUGGCAGCAGUGAGGAAUAUUGGUCAAUGGCCGGAAGCCUGAACCAGCCAAGUAGCGUGCGGGACGACUGCCCUACGGGUUGUAAACCUCUUUUACACGGGAAGAAUAAAUUCUACGUGUAGCAUGCUGCAUGUACCUUAUGAAUAAGCAUCGGCUAACUCCGUGCCAGCAGCCGCGGUAAUACGGAGGGUCCGAGCGUUAUCCGGAUUUAUUGGGGUUAAAGGGUGCGUAGGCGGUCUUUUAAGUUAGUGGUUAAACGUCGGGGCUUAACCUCGCUUUGCAGUUAAUACUGGAAGACUCGAGUUCAGACGAGGUAGGCGGAAUUAGUGAUGUAGCGGUGAAAUGCUUAGAUAUAACGUAGAACCCCGAUAGCGAAGGCAGCUUGCCGGAGUGCGACUGACGCUGAGGCACGAGGGCGUGGGUAGCGAACAGGAUUAGAUACCCGAGUAGUC
rnacentral:rRNA from 1 species